rnacentral:tRNA from 6 species
GGGGAAUAUUCUGUAAGUGGUAGCAGAGCGGUCUGUAAAAUCGUUGCCAUUGCGGCUCGGGUGGUUCGACUCCAUCUUCCCCCACCA